GAUGAACGCUGGCGGCGUGCCUAAUACAUGCAAGUCGAGCGAACAGACGAGGAGCUUGCUCCUCUGACGUUAGCGGCGGACGGGUGAGUAACACGUGGAUAACCUACCUAUAAGACUGGGAUAACUUCGGGAAACCGGAGCUAAUACCGGAUAAUAUAUUGAACCGCAUGGUUCAAUAGUGAAAGACGGUUUUGCUGUCACUUAUAGAUGGAUCCGCGCCGCAUUAGCUAGUUGGUAAGGUAACGGCUUACCAAGGCGACGAUGCGUAGCCGACCUGAGAGGGUGAUCGGCCACACUGGAACUGAGACACGGUCCAGACGCCUACGGGAGGCAGCAGUAGGGAAUCUGCCGCAAUGGGCGAAAGCCUGACGGAGCAACGCCGAGUGAGUGAUGAAGGUCUUCGGAUCGUAAAACUCUGUUAUUAGGGAAGAACAAAUGUGUAAGUAACUAUGCACGUCUUGACGGUACCUAAUCAGAAAGCCACGGCUAACUACGUG
rnacentral:rRNA from 1 species